GCAACCCUGGCGGCGAGCGGCGAACGGGUGAGUAAUGCAUCGGAACGUACCCCGUAGUGGGGGAUAACCCAGCGAAAGCUGGGCUAAUACCGCAUAUGCUCUACGGAGGAAAGCGGGGGACUCGCAAGGGCCUCGUGCUAUGGGAGCGGCCGAUGUCCGAUUAGCUGGUUGGUGGGGUAACGGCUUACCAAGGCGACGAUCGGUAGCUGGUCUGAGAGGAUGAUCAGCCACACUGGGACUGAGACACGGCCCAGACUCCUACGGGAGGCAGCAGUGGGACUCCUACGGGAGGCAGCAGUGGGACUCCUACGGGAGGCAAAAGUGGGGCCCACUCCUACGGGAGGCAGCAGUGGGACUUCUGCUCAGAAGGAAGACUGNCGNCACUCUCAAUCGNAGGGANCGGUUUCU
rnacentral:sRNA from 1 species